rnacentral:rRNA from 1 species
UACGUAGGUGGCGAGCGUUGUCCGGAAUUAUUGGGCGUAAAGGGCGCGUAGGCGGGAUAAUCAGUCUGUUGUAAAAGUUCGGGGCUCAACCCCGUAGCGCGAUGGAAACUGUUAUUCUUGAGUACCGGAGAGGAAAGUGGAAUUCCCAGUGUAGCGGUGAAAUGCGUAGAUAUUGGGAGGAACACCAGUGGCGAAGGCGACUUUCUGGACGGUGUCUGACGCUGAGGCGCGAAAGCCAGGGUAGUGAACGGG